UUUGUCAGACCCUGUUUAUUAUCAAGGUAUAUUCUAUUUUUUGAGUAAACCUAUAUUCUAUUUUUGAGUAAGCUUAUAUUACUUUAAAUUGUUGAACCCCUAUUUAAAGUGAACCUUUAAACUAUGUUUCUAUUAAGAUCACCUCUCUGGUAUAUGCUACUGGUGAAACAAAGAGAUGGGAACAAAGAGACCUCUAUUCUAUAGGCCUUGUUUAUGUCUUAAACACAGACCACUUCCUUUAUUCGUAGAGUACAUAAAUCAUGAAUGACCAGUGGAUACACUUACUGGUACCCCUUUGUCUUGGGGAUAGGGAAUAGUGGGGUUGUUUGCCUGGUUUGGAAGAAAGAUUGGCUUUCUCGUUGAGAGCAAGUUUAGACUUCAAGGCAGAUAGACGUGUGAUGUAACUUCCCCCAGAAGUUACUAUGUCGCAGCUUUUUAAGACCUGCCUUGAUUUUGUUUCUUAACAGUUUCACCAUGGUUCCACCAUGGUUCCACUUCCAUUUCCCUCGGGACAAGAGUUGGGACUACUGUCGUUGUUCAGGCAACGGUCUCCGCCUGAUCGAUGUAUUUAGUGCUUCCUGACGAACGACUUGUGUUUUAUCAUUUGUACUUCAUAUGAACAUCUAUUCUUUUCUUCUAUUCCCUAAUAUGUUCUUUCUAAUGUACAGUGUAGUUUACUUUGCUCCUUUUCUAUCAUUUAUUGUAUACCUGUACACCACAUUGUAAAGUUUUGCAUGUAGCUGUUUUUGUAAGAAUUGUUUGUUUCAAAUCGAAAUGCCAGUUGUCACACUGGGAAUUUAUUAUCGGUGUACCUUUGACACUGAAUAUUAAUAAAUACCUCUUUGGGAUUAUCAUUGGCACAAAAUAUAUGUUUCAGACUUUUGUAUUUUAAUGGAUCUCCGUGUUUACUAAUCUUAAUUAAUUGAACCGGCGCAGGCAUAGGAAGCCUGUGUAACAU